rnacentral:rRNA from 1 species
CCCAACAAAUUUAAUUUAUAAUUUAUUAUAAAUUUUAUACGUUUAGGUUGCGGGGAUCUAGAAAAUCUUACCUUUGGAAGCGAAUCUCGGAAUUACAUAAAUUGAUGGUAGAUAUUCAGACUGCUCAUGCUAAGUUGGGCAGUCAAGACGGAAACAGCCGAGAACACUGAUCAAGGUCCCAAAUGAUUGUUAAGUGAAAUUAAGGACGUAGCAAUAUCGUAUACAGCUGUGAAGUGAGCCUGGCAGUCGCUACUUAUAAUGAUCGUACGUAACAACGCAUCAGCAGUAUUUUUUUCUUAUAAGAMAAAAAAUGAUAGUAGCGCCGAAAAUUUAACGGGUCUUAAACAAUCAACCGAUAUCGUGUNGGUUUUAUUAAAUUAAAAUUUAAUGGAAUCUAGGUAGUAGAACAUUCAGUUUAACUGUUAAUUAAAUAGUGUUUCAUUGUUUAUUAGGUUACUGAAGAGAGAAUGCUGACAUGAGUAACGUAAAAAAUUCCUUAUAAUGGAAUUCGCCGAWUACGAA